UAACACUGUAUGUUGUUGUUUUUUCCCCCAUAUAUGGGCUCAAACACAUGAAGCAGACAGGAAAUGUAGUUGCUAAGCUGUUGCUAUGUGCACCAAAGCUAUUUAUGACUAAGGCAGUACAAAGAGUUUAGUAUAAAAAGGGCUGACUGACAGAAAUCUGUGUUCUUUUUCACUUUUGUGCCUUUGCUUUUUUGUCCUUUUCUUUUUGGACUUGUUGGUGAUUCUCAGCUGCAGACAGCUUUAGAGAAUUUCACUUGCUGAAGACACCAUCACCGACUGGUAUUGCAAACGACCAACUUGUGUCUGAACCUCUGCAAAUUAGACAACCAAUCACUCAUCAGUCAAGUUACAAAUCAAGAAGACUGACUGCUCACUGACUGCUGCCUCAGACUGCCGCCUCCUGCCAGCCACUGUGAGUGCUCAAGUCAACUUUAGCCAACUUUAGUUCUUCGGGAAAAAUAUGAUGAAACUUUCCGUUUUCCUACUGAUGCUGCACUCUGUCAUUCUGGUCUGGUCCGUGCCUCCGGAAAAGUCACUAUUCGAAAUUCAGCAUAUUGCGAAGGAAGGAGACACGUGUGAUAAUCUGAUGAAUAAUCUGAUGAAUAAACUGAAUGAACUGAAUAAACAGAACAAGGAGGAGUCUAAAUGCAAGCCAAGGAAUACCUUCAUCAUUGAUGAUAUGGAAAAUGUUAAAAAGAUUUGUAAUCAGAGGCAUGUUUAUUACAAUCUUUACGCAAGCAACAAUGUGUUGAAAAUGUUGCACUGUAAAUUGAAAUCUACUUCGCCUUGUAAGUAUGACGACGAAGAAAUAGAACUGCAUGCAGAAAUUGCAUGUAACAAUAACAAGCAACCUGUACACUUUGAAUGUUCCUUUCCCUCAACAUCUAAAUAAAUUUGCUUAAAUAUUAACAGUAAUAAUAAUAAAUAAAAACAAUGACUGAAUACUGGAAAAUUGCUUUUCAGUGAUGAUGGAAGAAUAUUACAAUCACCAGCACUAUCUGUUAGACUUCACUUUGUCUCACUUAAAUAACUAUAUUUUACAUGUUUUCUAACUGGCUGUAUCUCAUCUUGUUCUCUCAUAUGACAAUCAUUGCCGGCCUUUCAGCACUCAUUAAAUAAACUAAAGCUGACCAAGCUGCUGCUCCAGAGAAUUGCAUUACACUGAAAGUGAAACCACAUAUUUGGGUUGGUUUUUAAAACUCUGAAGAGAGAAGCUUUAUGCACAUUAUGUGACAGAAAAGGAAGUGGUUAUAAGUCGAGCAGGCUCGGCUGGGGAAUAACACAGGCGCCCUAUAUAGCAAAAAGGUCCUAGGUUCAAAUCCAGCAUCUGACCUGAACCUUUCUGUGCGGAGUUUGUGUCUGUGUGUUGCAUGCAUGGCUUCUCCCCGGGCACUCCAGUCUUCUCCUAUAGUACAAAGACAUGUGUAGGAUUAGGUUAAGUGGUGACCUGUAGGUGUAAAUAUGGGUAUGUUGUCUUUUUCUCUGUGUUAGUCCUGCAAUAGACUUGCAACAUGUCCCGGAUGUAACCUGCUUCAUAGCAGACAUGAAAAAUUUAUAUCUGCUGUACAAAGUGAAGCUUAUUCAAGUGUUAGACUUAUCUUCAGUGUCUGGAUAAGUCAGGCCCACUUCAUCAUUGUUGCUGUGGUAGAUAACCAGCAGCAUCUUCAGAACCACGAUAUACAAAAGUAAAAAAAAUUCUGAGAACUGAGAAUUAUAUGUAAGCAUUUUAGGGUGAGAUGUCCAUUAUAAUACUUUUCUAAUACUUUGUUAUUUCAGAUUGAUUCCACUUCUGUUCUGUGGCAUGCCAUCAACUCCUUCUAUCAAAUAAUGUCUUGACAUGAGACAGGGAAACACAUCUGUAUGAUCCCUGAAUUAAACAGGUUACUAUUCA